UAGCUAGUUGGUGGGUAAAGCCUACCAAGGCGACGAUCGUAGGGGUCUGAGAGGAUGAUCCGCACACUGGGACUGAGACACGGCCCAGAUUCCUACGGGAGGCAGCAGUGGGAAUAUUGGACAAUGGGCGAAAGCCUGAUCCAGCCAUGCCGCGUGUUGAAGAAGGCCUUUUGGUUGUAAAGCACUUUAAGCGAGGAGGAGGCUACUUAGAUUAAUACUCUAGGAUAGUGGACGUUACUCGCAGAAUAAGCACCGGCUAACUCUGUGCCAGCAGCCGCGGUAAUACAGAGGGUGCGAGCGUUAAUCGGAUUUACUGGGCGUAAAGCGUGCGUAGGCGGCUUUUUAAGUCGGAUGUGAAAUCCCUGAGCUUAACUUAGGAAUUGCAUUCGAUACUGGGAAGCUAGAGUAUGGGAGAGGAUGGUAGAAUUCCAGGUGUAGCGGUGAAAUGCGUAGAGAUCUGGAGGAAUACCGAUGGCGAAGGCAGCCAUCUGGCCUAAUACUGACGCUGAGGUACGAAAGCAUGGGGAGCAAACAGGAUUAGAUACCCUGGUAGUCCAUGCCGUAAACGAUGUCUACUAGCCGUUGGGGCCUUUGAGGCUUUAGUGGCGCAGCUAACGCGAUAAGUAGACCGCCUGGGGAGUACGGUCGCAAGACUAAAACUCAAAUGAAUUGACGGGGGCCCGCACAAGCGGUGGAGCAUGUGGUUUAAUUCGAUGCAACGCGAAGAACCUUACCUGGUCUUGACAUAGUAAGAACUUUCCAGAGAUGGAUUGGUGCCUUCGGGAACUUACAUACAGGUGCUGCAUGGCUGUCGUCAGCUCGUGUCGUGAGAUGUUGGGUUAAGUCCCGCAACGAGCGCAACCCUUUUCCUUAUUUGCCAGCGGGUUAAGCCGGGAACUUUAAGGAUACUGCCAGUGACAAACUGGAGGAAGGCGGGGACGACGUCAAGUCAUCAUGGCCCUUACGACCAGGGCUACACACGUGCUACAAUGGUCGGUACAAAGGGUUGCUACCUAGCGAUAGGAUGCUAAUCUCAAAAAGCCGAUCGUAGUCCGGAUUGGAGUCUGCAACUCGACUCCAUGAAGUCGGAAUCGCUAGUAAUCGCGGAUCAGAAUGCCGCGGUGAAUACGUUCCCGGGCCUUGUACACACCGCCCGUCACACCAUGGGAAUUUGUUGCACCAGAAGUAGGUAGUCUAACCGCAAGGAGGACGCUUACC
rnacentral:rRNA from 1 species